rnacentral:lncRNA from 10 species
CAGGCUCUGCCUGUUGACUCUUUCACCUGCCUCUGCUCUAUAUAUUUGGUGACUUUCAACCAUGUGAAAAUUAGAAAAUUUAAACUUCUUCAUGAGGACGUGUUGGAACACCUCAUUUUAUGGCACCAGAAGUGGUCAAAAGAGAGCCUUACGGAAAGCCUGUAGACGUCUGGGGGUGCGGUGUGAUCCUUUUUAUCCUGCUCAGUGGUUGUUUGCCUUUUUACGGAACCAAGGAAAGAUUGUUUGAAGGCAUUAUUAAAGGAAAAUAUAAGAUGAAUCCAAGGCAGUGGAGCCAUAUCUCUGAAAGUGCCAAAGACCUAGUACGUCGCAUGCUGAUGCUGGAUCCAGCUGAAAGGAUCACUGUUUAUGAAGCACUGAAUCACCCAUGGCUUAAGGUACAUGAGCAUUCACAGGUCACCUUCUACACUUUGUCUGAACACUUCCAGUGACAGGAAUGCGUUGCUCUAUGAGAUGGUCCUUUUUACCUUUUCUUUUUUCUGAGCAGUUUUCAUUAGUUUUUUUCAUCUUGUUUGCUGUUCCUGCACAUCAUCUGUGAACAUCUGAAUAGAAGACAUACCAUUUGAGUGUCAUGCAGCUAUCAGAGGGUAAAAAACAGGAUUAAGACAGAAUAUAUCAGGGGAAGGCCUCUUUUUUCUCUGCCAACAUGUGUUCCAAAGAUAUGCAACAUCAACAACUGAAGUAAUACCAUGUUAUAAUAAAUUAACUAUCUUUA